UAAGGAAUAUUGCGCAAUGGAGGCAACUCUGACGCAGCAACGCCGCGUGCGGGAAGAAGGGUUUCGGCUCGUAAACCGCUUUUCUGUGGGAAGAGCAAGGACGGUACCACAGGAAUAAGUCCCGGCUAACUACGUGCCAGCAGCCGCGGUAAAACGUAGGGGGCAAGCGUUAUCCGGAUUUACUGGGCGUAAAGCGCGUGCAGGCGGUCUGUUAAGUCGUGCGUGAAAGCUCCGAGGCUCAACCCGGAGAGGUCGUGCGAGACUGGCAGACUAGAGGGAGAUAGAGGCGAGUAGAAUUCCAGGUGUAGUGGUGAAAUGCGUAGAUAUCUGGAGGAAUACCAGUGGCGAAGGCGGCUCGCUGGGUCUCACCUGACGCUCAGACGCGAAAGCAUGGGUAGCGAACGGGAUUAGAUACCCCUGUAGUCC
rnacentral:rRNA from 1 species